rnacentral:rRNA from 1 species
UACGAACCGUGCGAACGUUAUUCGGAAUCACUGGGCUUACAGGGUGAGUAGGCGGCUUGUUAAGUAGGGUGUGAAAGCCCCCGGCUCAACCGGGGAAUUGCGCCCUAAACUGGCGAGCUGGAGUGAGAUAGGGGUGUGUGGAACUUCCGGUGGAGCGGUGAAAUGUGUUGAUAUCGGAAGGAACGCCGGUGGCGAAAGCGACACACUGGAUCUUGUCUGACGCUGAGGCACGAAAGCCAGGGGAGCGAACGGG